UAUAUUUCAGGGCGUCUCGCUUCGCUCGAGUGUUUUGGUGCAUAACGCUUUUUAAAUCACUAGUUUAUCAUCUUCAAUAUAUUUGCAUUCGGGGAACUUUUCAACUAACAUAUUAGUUUUCCUUGUGCUUUUUACUUCAUGUUUAGCUUUUUGUCUGCAGGUUUGUAAUCUGUUGUAAAUUUGUAUCUCAAAAAGACAUCAUUUUAAAUGAUAUUGUGAAGUCAUGGUUUAGUGCAUGCAACAGGUAUGUCACGACGCACUCUUUGAUGUUGAGGUUUGAGUGAGUGACGGACACUAAAUUUAGCUACUUACCUGUGUAUAAGAACAGAAAAGCCAGUGAAUGAUAUGGAAGAAACUGUGUUAAGGCUGUAAACAAAAGGCGCAUUGGAUGUUUGUAUUUUAUUUUUGCUGCCAAUAAAGUGUUUAAAUUUCAGAUUUGGAAUAAAAUAUGCUGAAUCCGUCCAAGAAGUGGAAGCAGAAAAGAGCUGCACCAUAAUAGGUGCCACCUUAUUAGAAAAUAAUAGUCUGAAUGUAGUAUUAUGAUGUCUGAGAAAGCUCUACAUUUUCUCUCAGUUUAUAUUGAAUAUACAAGAGUCAGGAACAGACAUUUAUUUCUGUUUCAUUUACAUUUUUGUGCUUAAAGUGCACUUGUUGUCAUUAAAUGUGCCCUUAAAGCAUGCAAUACAAAAUUGCUACAUGUUACAAAAUAACUUAUUGAACUGAUACAGUACCGAUUUGUAUUCCAUAUUGAAUAAAAUAUAAAGAAUAGAAAAACUUGUAUUUGAUUUGUUAUUUGGUAGCUUUGUUGGUAACAUUGUGACAUGGACAUGAGAGACUGUGUAGUCUGCUUUCCAAUUGAUUCUUGGGUUCCGGAGGAUACUUCUUAGCAGAGAUAUCAACUUGUCCAAACCUGUGGACAUGGCUAUAUGGUUCCAAAGAUUGCAUCAAGAACAGGAUUCAUAAGGAUGCUGAGAUCAUUUGAGUUUGUUUCUUCUUGCAUAUCACAAAGCUUUACUGUAGCCAGUGGAGGAAGAAGUGAUGGAUCACAAUCAACAGUGAGGGAUGACAAAAGAGGAACAAGUUUGUUGCAGAUGGCCUCUUGUUCUUGGGGUGUUGGAUUCCAUCUCUCACUGUAGAUGGUUCCUCCAUUUCCCUUUUGUACUCGGUACUGUCUUGGACUUCUCUCUAAUUCUUGCAGAUGAAUGUUUUCGAUCAGUUUCAAAGCCGAAAACUUAUGGUGGUGCCAAAGAAUUCAAACACUAGUACAGAUUCAGACCUGAAUGUUUCCAGGUUUCCGAGUGAUAUGCCAUUAGAACACUCGGAUCUCAUCUCCGAUUGUAUUCCUUGUCCCAGUGUCUACUGACACCUAAUUCAAUUCCCAGCUUAUUAACUAUGUGAUGCAGGAAGCAGUUGGCACGUCCUGACUUCUGAAACAAAGGAAGCAAUCUUGAUCUGGUGUUGCUUCAUUACUUCCCUUUGUGUCCAGUCCAUUUGAGACUGAUGUUUUAUCUUCAUUUUGGAACA